rnacentral:lncRNA from 1 species
AAAUUCAAGAAGAUAUAGAGACAUCAAAGUUGACAAAUGGGAAUAAGGCAGAGUACCUGGACUCUGAAAUCUCAGCUUUAGAAAUCUCUUAUCCUUGCCCACCUUGUGGAAACACUGUCAUUUUCUGAUAUCAGGAAGAUCUGGCAGAUGGUCUUAGUCCACUCCUGUGCCAAGAACCGGUUCCUACUUUUCUAUUUAUGGACUACAUUGCACAAACUUUGAGCCUAUUAAGAUUCUAUGGGAAUGAAAUGCCUCUAGAAUUUUUGGAGUUCCUGUUGUGGCUUAGCCAGGUUGAACUGAAAUGAAAGAACAUGAGUUGAAUAUUUCAUGCUGUACUGACUUCCUUGCAGGGCUGAACUAUACGAAUGACCACCAGACAAAGGAGUAAGAAUCUGCCACAAAAUUCUUUAUCAGCAUAACUUCAUGGCCUAUUGUAAGUGACUUUUUUUAAAAAAAUUGUCAUCUUCCAGAUCUAUACUUCCCCAUGUUCAUCCAGGUUCAUUGUGUGUAGUUCACCCACAAAAUUAGAGUUUAAUUCUCAUAAUAAGUCUUACUUUAUAUUUACUCAUAAUGAUUGAAUUGACCUGACCAAACCCAAAAGAUAA